GUCUGGGAUAGCUCAGUCGGUAGAGCAUGAGACUCUUAAUCUCAGGGUUGUGGGUUUGAGCCCCACUUUUGGCA